GAGAGGGGCGGUAGAGGGAGCAGCGAGGAAGCGAAGGGAACAAGGUCGCCAUAGCUAGAGCUCGCUCGCCUUCGCGCGCGCGAAAAGGGAAAGGAAAGGGGCGCGUCAGCAAAAGGGUCAGGGGCCGAAAGCCCCGCCGACCCAAGAAGCAGGAAUCGAGCGCGGCUGCUGCUGCUGUUGUCGUUGUCGUCGCCUUCUCCUUCCCCUCCCACUACCAACCCGGCCCCCGCCUCAGGGGGAGGCGGAGAGGGAAGCCGAGGCGGUGAAGAGCCCCCUCCAGCGUCCGCUUACACUCUGUGGACCACCUGAAUGAAGCUCACGGACCACAGUUUGGGAACCCCUGUUCUAUAGGAUACAAAUCUCUAGUGGACCACAAAAAAGAAAAAAAAUGAAGGCACAUGAGGUCACUACCUUGCUGAAGCUAAGCAGGUCUGGAUCUUGUCAGUGCUUGGAUGGGAUACCGCCUGAGAACUGCAUGUAUGCCACCUUAGGUUCUGUGAUGUAAGAAAGGUGGGGAUAACUGCAAGAAAAAACCCAGUGCCUGCAGGAAGAAGGAGAACAUCGCCACCCAGGGAAGGAGAGCCUGCUGUUGGAACACCACCUCCACCACUCUUCCCAGUGGGACUGCUGCCUGGCAGACGUGCCUCCUGCAGGACCAGGUCCCAGGUACCCAGCCAGCUGUGACUAAUUUCCAUCACCUGUCCCUCUUGGGAGGGAUACAUAAGCCGGCUGGCUGAGGUGGCCUGGGUUUUUGUCUUUUGUUUUGUUUUUGUUUUGCUGCUUUUUUUCUUUUUCUUUUGGGUGCCAUUGGUUUUAGCUAUGGGUGGGUUCGGUUU